UACAGAGGGUGCGAGCGUUAAUCGGAAUUACUGGGCGUAAAGCGCGCGUAGGCGGCUUUGCAAGUCGGGUGUGAAAUCCCCAGGCUUAACCUGGGAACUGCAUUCGAGACUGCAUUGCUAGAGUAUGGGAGAGGGAAGUGGAAUUUCCGGUGUAGCGGUGAAAUGCGUAGAUAUCGGAAGGAACAUCAGUGGCGAAAGCGACUUCCUGGACCAAUACUGACGCUCAUGUGCGAAAGCGUGGGGAGCAAACAGGAUUAGAACCGUACCGUUCAGAUCCAA
rnacentral:rRNA from 1 species